UUAAUUGCUUUUAACAUGCAAAUUGAAAUGUAAUUCGGAAAAAAAAAACUGGAAAAAAAUGUGGACAAAAGACUCAAAAUUAUAACAACAAGUAAUGAUUUUUUUCACCCAUGAAUUAAUUGCUUUUGUUGGAAAGAAGAAGAAAAAAAACUUAAGUAAAAAACAACUUGUUAAUCUCAAGCCACAAUUGUUUCGAACUAACUGUAGGUGCAUCUAAAAUUUCAGCAGAGAUAUGGAGCAAGAAAAAAACUGCAAUUAUUAAAGUGCAUCAGUUGAAGUGGUACUACAAUUGUCUUGUCUAAAAACACCUUCUGGAGGCACACGUGAGAAGCUGAUGUUAAACUUGGAGUCUUAACAAUGAAAUGCAUUUUGAAUUAUGCUGCUGCCGCUGCAUCUCAAUACAAAAACAUAUCUUGAGGUCCCCUAACAUGGCUGGUAUUUUGGUGUGGCAUACUAGAGUUUUUUUCUGGGAGACAUUGUAUUCAAUUCAUUUCUGUGGCUGCAACUCCAACCUACAGCCUUUCUCAGACACAGCUGUAAGGUCUCAUAUGAGAAAGAACGAACGAAAAAAACACCAAGGGAUUGACGUGAUAAGGACAAGUCAGCUUUAUGCCGCAAUAAUCUGCGUAAAUGUCGCAACAAUAUUUUUCCACAUGAACAAACGAAAUGUGUUUAAUUUGGGUUUAUGGAU